GUCCCUGUGGAACAAUGGAUAAUGCGUUGGAUAUCUAAUCCAAAGGUCGUGGGUUUGAAUCCCACCUGGGAUA